rnacentral:rRNA from 1 species
GACGAACGCUGCGGCGUGCUUAACACAUGCAAGUCGAACGGUAAGGCCCUUCGGGGUACACGAGUGGCGAACGGGUGAGUAACACGUGGGUGAUCUGCCCUGCACUUCGGGAUAAGCCUGGGAAACUGGGUCUAAUACCGGAUAGGACCCUGGGAUGCAUGUCCUGGGGUGGAAAGCUUUUGCGGUGUGGGAUGGGCCCGCGGCCUAUCAGCGUGUUGGUGGGGUGAUGGCCUACCAAGGCGACGACGGGUAGCCGGCCUGAGAGGGUGACCGGCCACACUGGGACUGAGAUACGGCCCAGACUCCUACGGGAGGCAGCAGUGGGGAAUAUUGCACAAUGGGCGCAAGCCUGAUGCAGCGACGCCGCGUGAGGGAUGACGGCCUUCGGGUUGUAAACCUCUUUCAGCACCGACGAAGCGCAAGUGACGGUAGGUGCAGAAGAAGGACCGGCCAACUACGUGCCAGCCGCCGCAGUAA